rnacentral:sRNA from 1 species
GUUGGAGAUUUCCAUGGUGGGGAUUGGCGGGAUUUCAAGCUCAGGACUUGAGAUCAGAGCUGGGGACCGAACCCAGGACCUUGAGCUUCCUAGGCAAGCGCUCUACCACUGAGCCAAAUCCCCAACCCCGAUUUUAACAGAUUUUAACAGUGCUUAACACGCACCCAGAGUGCCAAGGAAGUGAAGGUCUCUUUCCUCUCUCUUACUACCUGGUGGUCACAGCAAAGCAGAAACUGAGAAAAGUCCCUGAGUGUCUUCAACAUGGGAGCACUUUCAAAACAGUGGUUUUAAAAUAGGCAGGGCCAUUCUGUUCUUACGAGAAGCCAUUUUAACAAGGAGAUGCAUCGGACUCCAGGCACCUUCCAGUCUCACCUCAGACGAUCGCAAGAGAGCCAGAAGCGAGAGAGAGUCAGAAGGUUGUAUCAAGGUUCCUGAGUAAAACUGCUUGAAGAAGAAGAAGAAGAAGAAGAAGAAGA